UUGGGGAUAAUUGCCUCCAAAUUUUAGGAAUUAGGGGCAAAAAAGGGGCAAAAAAUAAUCAUUUUUCUAGUUUCAUGACAAUAACUUGUGUGUAAGUGUAUGGAUCUUUAUGAAAUUGUACUACACGGUUCCAUAUCACAAAGGGAAAGCUGGAAUAGAGUUUGGGGGUAAUUGCCCAAAAAGUUUAGGAAUAAGGGGCCAAAAAUAAGCAUUUUUCUACGUUUCCAGACAAUAACUUGUGUUCAAAUGUAUGGAUCUCUCUGAAAUUUUACUGCAAGGUACCAUACCACAAAGGGAAGGCUGGGAUUGAUUUUGGGGGUAAUUCCCUCAAAAUUUUAGUAAUUAGGGGCCAUAAAAGGGCAAAAAAACAAGCAUUUUUCUAGUUUCAGGACAAUAACUUGUGUGUAAGUGUAUGGAUCUUUAUGAAAUUGUACUGCAAGGUUCCAUAUCACAAAGGGAAAGCUGGGUUUGAGUUUGGGGGUAAUUGCCCUAAACGUUUAGGAAUUUGGGGCCAAAAAACAAGCAUUUUUCUAGUUUCCAGACAAUAACACAAUAACUUGUGUUCAAGUAGAUAUAAGAAGAUGUGGUAUGAGUGCCAAUGAGACAACUCUCCAUCCAAGUAAAAAUUUAUAAAAGUAAACCAUUAUAGGUCACAGAGUAUGGAUCUCUCUGAAAUUGUACUGCAAGGUACCAUACCACAAAGGGAAAGCUGGGAUUGAGUUUGGGGGUGAUGAAUCAUAAGGGGGUUCAAAAAAUUGGGGGGGGGGAUUUUUUUUUCCUUUUUUUUCUUUAAAAUUUUCCAUUUUAAAUUGGUUAUUUCUGAUUUAUAUAUAAAAGCAAAUAAUAAUGAUAUGGUUUGAAUAGGUAAAUUAAAAAUUUUUAAGUUCUUAGACCACUUUCAUUCUGUGUGAGAAACCUAUGCUGUGUCAAAUAUUUAAUUACAAUCCAAAUUCAGAGCUGUAUCAAGCUUGAAUGUUGUGUCCAUACUUGCCCCAACUGUUCAGGGUUCGACCUCUGCGGUCGUAUCAAGCUGCGCCCCAGCGGAGCAUUUUAUUGUAACUUCCAGACAUAACUUGUGUGUUAGUGUAUGGAUCUCUCUGACAUUGUACCAUAAGGUUCCAUAUCACAAAGGGAAUGCUGGGAUUGAUUUUGGGGGUAAUUGCCUCCAAAUUUUAGGAAUUAGGGGCCAAAAAGGGGCAAAAAACAAGCAUUUUUCUAGUUUCAUGACAAUAACUUGUGUGUAAGUGUAUGGAUCUCUCUGACAUUGUACCACAAGGUUCCAUAUCACAAAGGGAAAGCUGGGAUUGAUUUUGGGGGUAAUUGCCUCCAAAUUUUAGGAAUUAGGGGCCAAAAACAAGCAUUUUUCUAGUUUCAUGACCAUAACUUGUGUGUACACGUAUGGAUCUUUCUGAAAUUGUACUACAAGCUUCCAUAUCACAAAGGGAAAGCUGGAAUUGCGUUUGGGGGUAAUUGCCCUAAACAUUUAUGAAUAAGGGGCCAAAAAUAAGCAUUUUUCUAGUUUCCAGACAAUAACUUGUGUUCAAGUGUAUGGAUCUCUCUGAAAUUGUACUGCAAGGUACCAUACCACAAAGGGAAGGCUGGGAUUGAUUUUGGGGUAAUUCCCUCAAAAUUUGAGAAAUUAAGGGGCCAUAAAGGGGCAAAAAAACAAGCAUUUUUCUAGAUUCAGGACAAUAACUUGUGUGUAAGUGUAUGGAUCUUUAUGAAAUUGUACUGCAAGGUUCUAUAUCACAAAGGGAAAGCUGGGUUUGAGUUUGGGGGUAAUUGCCCUAAACGUUUAGGAAUUUGGGGCCAAAAAGGGGCCAAAAAACAAGCAUUUUUCUAGUUUCCAGACAAUAACUUGUGUUCAAGUGUAUGGAUCUCUGAAAUUUUACUGCAAGGUACCAUACCACAAAGGGAAGGCUGGGAUUGAUUUUGGGGUAAUUCCCUCAAAAUUUGAGAAAUUAAGGGGCCAUAAAGGGGCAAAAAAACAAGCAUUUUUCUAGAUUCAGGACAAUAACUUGUGUGUAAGUGUAUGGAUCUUUAUGAAAUUGUACUGCAAGGUUCUAUAUCACAAAGGGAAAGCUGGGUUUGAGUUUGGGGGUAAUUGCCCUAAACGUUUAGGAAUUUGGGGCCAAAAAGGGGCCAAAAAACAAGCAUUUUUCUAGUUUCCAGACAAUAACUUGUGUUCAAGUGUAUGGAUCUCUGAAAUUUUACUGCAAGGUACCAUACCACAAAGGGAAGGCUGGGAUUGAUUUUGGGGUAAUUCCCUCAAAAUUUGAGAAAUUAAGGGGCCAUAAAGGGGCAAAAAAACAAGCAUUUUUCUAGAUUCAGGACAAUAACUUGUGUGUAAGUGUAUGGAUCUUUAUGAAAUUGUACUGCAAGGUUCUAUAUCACAAAGGGAAAGCUGGGUUUGAGUUUUGGGGUAAUUGCCCUAAACGUUAAGGAAUAAGGGGUCAAAAAGGGGCCAAAAAUAAGCAUUUUUCUAGUUUCCAGAGAAUAACUUGUGUUCAAGUGUAUGGAUCUCUCUGAAAUUGUACUGCAAGGUACCAUACCUCAAAGGGAAGGCUGGGAUUGAGUUUGGGGGUAAUUGCCUCAAAAUGUUAGGAAUAAGGGGCCAAAAAGGGGCAAAAAAAACAAGCAUUUUUUUCUAG